rnacentral:rRNA from 1 species
CGAGUGGCGGACGGGUGAGUAAUGUCUGGGAAACUGCCCGAUGAGGGGGAGUAACUACUGGAGACGGUAGCUAAUACCGCAUAACGUCGCAAGACCAAAGAGGGGGACCUUCGGGCCUCUUGCCAUCGGAUGUGCCCAGAUGGGAUUAGCUAGUAGGUGGGGUAAAGGCUCACCUAGGCGACGAUCCCUAGCUGGUCUGAGAGGAUGACCAGCCACAUUGGAACUGAGACACGGUCCAAACUCCUACGGGAGGCAGCAUG